CGUGGCACAGCCCGUUUCGUUAACACAUCGUUUGACUCAACGACCAAAUUUACUAAAGAAAGAAAACGGAAGAGAAGUAACUGCUCAGCGUCUCGGAGCUCUCCUCUCCUUGCUCACUCACUUCUCUUGCCGCUCGGACUUAGGGUGUCGACUGUUAUCUUUCACAUUGAUCUAUCUCUGAUUCCGUUUUGCACUCAAAAUAAUGUCCAACUUCUCUUACCAGAUCAGAGCAUCCUCGUCUCUGAUCAAACGCCUAAAACAAAGAUUUAUGAAUCCAGCUGCUCUAACGCAGACUGCUAGAUCUAUCACUACAACCGAGGGCCACCGUCCCACUAUUGUGCACAAGCGAAGCCUUGAUAUUCUUCAUGAUCCUUGGUUCAACAAGGGAACAUCGUUUUCUAUAACGGAACGAGAUCGUCUUGAUCUUCGGGGACUUCUUCCUCCGAAUGUUAUGUCUUCUGAGCAACAAAUUGAACGGUUCAUGGCUGACUUGAAGAGGCUUGAAGUGCAUGCUAGAGAUGGACCUUCUGAUCCAAAUGCUUUGGCCAAGUGGCGCAUACUUAAUAGGUUGCAUGACAGAAAUGAAACAAUGUACUAUAAGGUUCUGAUUGCCAAUAUCGAGGAAUAUGCACCCAUCGUAUAUACUCCCACUGUGGGUCUUGUUUGCCAAAAUUACAGUGGUUUAUUUAGAAGGCCAAGAGGAAUGUAUUUCAGUGCUGAGGAUCGUGGAGAAAUGAUGUCCAUGGUUUAUAACUGGCCAGCUGAGCAGGUUGAUAUGAUUGUUGUUACGGAUGGAAGUAGGAUACUAGGUCUUGGAGAUCUUGGAGUCCAGGGGAUUGGAAUUGCAAUUGGGAAGCUGGAUUUAUAUGUUGCUGCUGCUGGGAUAAAUCCUCAAAGGGUGCUUCCUGUCAUGAUUGAUGUUGGAACCAACAAUGAGAAGCUGCUCAAAGACCCCUUGUAUUUGGGAUUGCAAGAACACCGUCUUGAUGGCGAUGAGUAUGUUGCAGUAAUUGAUGAAUUCAUGGAGGCAGUGUUUACUCGUUGGCCACAAGUGAUUGUGCAGUUUGAGGAUUUCCAAAGCAAGUGGGCGUUCAAGCUAUUGCAGCGCUACAGGAAUACCUACAGAAUGUUCAAUGAUGAUGUCCAGGGUACAGCAGGGGUUGCAAUUGCUGGCCUUCUAGGAGCUGUAAGGGCACAAGGCAGGCCAAUGAUUGAUUUUCCCAAACAAAAGAUUGUUGUUGCUGGUGCUGGAAGUGCUGGAAUAGGGGUUCUUAAUGCCGCAAGGAAAACAAUGGCCAGGAUGUUGGGAAAUAAUGAAUCUGCAUUCAAAAGUGCAUUGAGUCAGUUCUGGGUAGUUGAUGCUAAGGGUCUGAUCACAGAGGAACGUGAAAAUAUUGACCCAGAAGCCCUGCCAUUUGCAAGGAAGAUCAAAGAAGCUAAUCGUCAAGGAUUAAGGGAGGGUGCAAGCCUUGCAGAAGUGGUGCGGGAAGUGAAGCCUGAUGUUCUUCUUGGAUUAUCUGCAGUUGGAGGAUUGUUCUCAAAAGAGGUAUUAGAGGCCCUCAAAGGUUCAACUUCAACUAGACCAGCAAUCUUUGCCAUGUCAAACCCUACAAAAAAUGCUGAAUGCACUCCUGAAGAAGCAUUUUCUAUUGUGGGUGACAAUGUUAUAUUUGCAAGUGGAAGUCCUUUCAAAGAUGUGGAUCUUGGAAAUGGUCAUGUUGGCCACUGUAACCAGGGAAACAACAUGUAUCUCUUUCCAGGUAUCGGGCUUGGGACGCUUCUCUCUGGCUCUAGGAUCAUCUCUGAUGGCAUGCUACAGGCUGCAGCUGAAUGCCUAGCUGCAUAUAUGACAGAAGAUGAGGUUCUGCAAGGGAUCAUAUACCCUUCAACAUCUAGGAUACGAGAUAUAACAAAGCAGGUAGCUGCAGCUGUUGUGAAGGAAGCCAUAGAAGAGGAUCUUGCAGAAGGAUAUCGUGAGAUGGAUGCUCGAGAGCUUCGAAAACUUAACGAGGAGGAAAUCCUAGAAUUUGUGAAAAACAACAUGUGGAGUCCAGAGUACCCAACGUUGGUCUAUAAGAAGGAUUGAGCAUAAGUCUCCCAUAACAUUCGUCAUGAUUCUGCUUUGCAAUGCAUUAAUGAGGAUUGCUGUAUGUAUUCAUUCUGUCAAAAGUUGGCAUCAAUAAGUUCGUUUCAAGUUUCUAUAUUUUUUGUCAUUGGCGUAUGUCCGUAGAUCUUAAAUAUGUAUAUUGUAAGUAAAUAUUUCUCAAAUUGCUGCAUUCAAC
rnacentral:misc_RNA from 1 species